AUUUAAAUAGUUUAAUAAAAAUAUUGAUUUGUGGAAUCAAAGUUAUAAAGUAUAUUUUAAAUA
rnacentral:tRNA from 1 species